rnacentral:rRNA from 1 species
UACAGAGGGUGCUAGCGUUGUUCGGAAUCAUUGGGCGUAAAGGGCGUGUAGGCGGUUUGUUAAGUCAUGUGUGAAAUCCCUCGGCUCAACCGGGGAACGACGCAUGAAACUGGCAAGCUAGAGUACCAAAGAGGGGGGUGGAAUUCCGGGUGUAGCGGUGGAAUGCGUAGAGAUCCGGAAGAACACCGGUGGCGAAGGCGGUUAGCUGGGCAGUUGCUGACACUGAGGCGCGACAGCGUGGGGAGCAAACAGG